CCUACGGGCGGCUGCAGUGGGGAAUAUUGGACAAUGGGCGAAAGCCUGAUCCAGCCAUGCCGCGUGUGUGAAGAAGGCCUUUUGGUUGUAAAGCACUUUAAGCGAGGAGGAGGCUACCGAGAUUAAUACUCUUGGAUAGUGGACGUUACUCGCAGAAUAAGCACCGGCUAACUCUGUGCCAGCAGCCGCGGUAAUACAGAGGGUGCAAGCGUUAAUCGGAUUUACUGGGCGUAAAGCGCGCGUAGGUGGCCAAUUAAGUCAAAUGUGAAAUCCCCGAGCUUAACUUGGGAAUUGCAUUCGAUACUGGUUGGCUAGAGUAUGGGAGAGGAUGGUAGAAUUCCAGGUGUAGCGGUGAAAUGCGUAGAGAUCUGGAGGAAUACCGAUGGCGAAGGCAGCCAUCUGGCCUAAUACUGACACUGAGGUGCGAAAGCAUGGGGAGCAAACAGGAUUAGAUACCCGAGUAGUC
rnacentral:rRNA from 1 species